CCAGACUCCUACGGGAGGCAGCAGUCGGGAAUAUUGGGCAAUGGAGGAAACUCUGACCCAGCAAUACCGCGUGAAGGAUGAAGGUCUUCGGAUUGUAAACUUCUGUUAUAAAGGAAGAAUAAAAUGACGGUACUUUAUAAGUAAGCCCCGGCAAACUAUGUGCCAGCAGCCGCGGUGAUACAUAGGGGGCAAGCGUUGUCCGGAAUGACUGGGUGUAAAGGGUGUGUAGGUGGCUUAUUAAGUUGGAAGUGAAAGCCCGGGGCUUAACUCCGGAACUGCUUUUAAAACUGGUUGGCUUGAGUGUGGGAGAGGUUAGUGGAACUCCUAGUGUAGCGGUGGAAUGCGUAGAUAUUAGGAAGAACAUCAGAGGCGAAGGCGACUAACUGGAACAUUACUGACACUGAAACACGAAAGGGUGGGUAGCAAACAGGAUUAGAUACCCUCGUAG
rnacentral:rRNA from 1 species